rnacentral:rRNA from 1 species
GACGAACGCUAGCGGCGUGCCUAAUACAUGCAAGUAGAACGCUGAAGAGAGGAGCUUGCUCUUCUUGGAUGAGUUGCGAACGGGUGAGUAACGCGUAGGUAACCUGCCUUGUAGCGGGGGAUAACUAUUGGAAACGAUAGCUAAUACCGCAUAACAAUGGAUGACACAUGUCAUUUAUUUGAAAGGGGCAAUUGCUCCACUACAAGAUGGACCUGCGUUGUAUUAGCUAGUAGGUGAGGUAAUGGCUCACCUAGGCGACGAUACAUAGCCGACCUGAGAGGGUGAUCGGCCACACUGGGACUGAGACACGGCCCAGACUCCUACGGGAGGCAGCAGUAGGGAAUCUUCGGCAAUGGGGGCAACCCUGACCGAGCAACGCCGCGUGAGUGAAGAAGGUUUUCGGAUCGUAAAGCUCUGUUGUAAGUCGAGAACGGGUGUGAGAGUGGAAAGUUCACACUGUGACGGUAGCUUACCAGAAAGGGACGGCUAACUACGUGCCAGCAGCCGCGGUAAUACGUAGGUCCCGAGCGUUGUCCGGAUUUAUUGGGCGUAAAGCGAGCGCAGGCGGUUUGAUAAGUCUGAAGUUAAAGGGCUGUGGCUCAACCAUAGUUCGCUUUGGAAACUGUCAAACUUGAGUGCAGAAGGGGAGAGUGGAAUUCCAUGUGUAGCGGUGAAAUGCGUAGAUAUAUGGAGGAACACCGGUGGCGAAAGCGGCUCUCUGGUCUGUAACUGACGCUGAGGCUCGAAAGCGUGGGGAGCGAACAGGAUUAGAUACCCUGGUAGUCCACGCCGUAAACGAUGAGUGCUAGGUGUUGGAUCCUUUCCGGGAUUCAGUGCCGCAGCUAACGCAUUAAGCACUCCGCCUGGGGAGUACGACCGCAAGGUUGAAACUCAAAGGAAUUGACGGGGGCCCGCACAAGCGGUGGAGCAUGUGGUUUAAUUCGAAGCAACGCGAAGAACCUUACCAGGUCUUGACAUCCCGAUGCUAUUUCUAGAGAUAGAAAGUUACUUCGGUACAUCGGUGACAGGUGGUGCAUGGUUGUCGUCAGCUCGUGUCGUGAGAUGUUGGGUUAAGUCCCGCAACGAGCGCAACCCCUAUUGUUAGUUGCCAUCAUUCAGUUGGGCACUCUAGCGAGACUGCCGGUAAUAAACCGGAGGAAGGUGGGGAUGACGUCAAAUCAUCAUGCCCCUUAUGACCUGGGCUACACACGUGCUACAAUGGUUGGUACAACGAGUUGCGAGUCGGUGACGGCGAGCUAAUCUCUUAAAGCCAAUCUCAGUUCGGAUUGUAGGCUGCAACUCGCCUACAUGAAGUCGGAAUCGCUAGUAAUCGCGGAUCAGCACGCCGCGGUGAAUACGUUCCCGGGCCU